ACCGGCCGCGCGGUGGUGCCCGUGCCGUGGAAAUUGAAUCGGGUCCCCGAGCUUUCCCGGGUCUGGUGUAUCUGGCGCUAUGAGGGCGUGCGGAGUGAAGAUGAGAGCUAUUUAUGCUUGGAAAUAUUCCAGACUGUGGAGUCCGCCUUCCCCCGAGGGGAACAGACAGGACUCGUGCAGCCUCACGCAGCGACGCAGGGAGCGUGGCUCCCGUUCUUCCGGAUCUAGCGCCUGCAGGGAUGCGAGAGCAUGAGCCUCUGAAGGCAAGUCCAGGGACCUCACCUGCCCCAUGCAAGUGGGAUGGCAGUGGAGCAUGGGGGUCUGCAAGGUUGCUCCAGAUCCUUGCUCUUGGGACCCAGCCGCCAUGCUGUGAGGAAGCCCAAGUCACCCUAUGGAGAAGCACAUGUGGAGAGAAGCAGCACACAGCACCAGCUCGAAAGCCAUGUGCGUGAGUCAUCUUGGAAGUGGGUUCUCCAGCCCCAGCUGAUGCUGUGUGGAGCGGAGACAAGCUGUCCCUGCUGAGCUCUGCCCAUUUUGCAGAUUGGUGGG